rnacentral:piRNA from 1 species
UGGGAUAGAAGACCCUGUAGCUAUA